UCACACCUCGUAGUAACCACAAUCAGCCAAACUUUAUCCCUCGCCAUACGUCUUCUUGUCUCGAAAAUUAAUGUGUCAUCAUUCAUCAUAGUACGGUGACUUUUCUUUGAUAGACUAGGCUGUAGUAGAUCCACAUGCUGACAUUUCCAAGUAUUUUAUAUCAGUCCAUGGCUCGGAAGAGAGGAUAAUUCAGCAAGAAAUUUUUUGUGAACAUCUCUGCGACUGCGAGUGUUAAUGUAUAGAGACAAAUAUUUUAGUUCAGUAAUAAGUUACAGAUACCAGUGUUGUUCCCAACACCUACACAAGCCUCCAAACUCCAAAGAAUCCUAUAUAAAUGGCUUCCAGCAUUGAAACAUCUCUGAUCAACUCACUUGAAAAUAUGGGCAGGAGUUGAUAAUAUCAUAAAAUGCCAAUCUGCGAUGUUCUAUGCUUUAGGAUCGUCAACUACACUGACAGCUUGUGACUUCAAUACUGAAAGGAACCAACUUUUGUUGAUGAGACGCAUCUUGCCUCAACGGCCAAUGUUUUAACAAUGCCAUGGCAUGGGUCACCUCCAAAUGCAGCAUUUGAAACUGAAAUAUUGCAUUUGCUUCUUCCUUCACAAGCCUUGGCCACUACAGAUAAUGAAUUGGGUGCAUGGCAAUUGCUUCUAGAAUAUUUCUGGCAGCUCCCUUGAGGAGUUCCAUAGCUAGCAAAUUCUAUGGAGGAGAUUAUAUAUCCAUCUUGACACUGUAACUGUAUUUCUGGUGUCAUAUCUUUAACUGAAAUAUUUCCACCAAUAAAAUCUGGAUGGACCCACUUCUGAAGAGGUGGAUAGUGGGUUUGUGACACUUGAGCACAGAUCACACGGGCUGAACGCAACUUUAUUGAAAUUUCAAAUGGAUUUCCUCCUGUCUCCUCGAAUAACACAAGCAAAUUAUUUGAUGCACGUAACCAUGACCGUGGGAUGUGGUACCAGGUUUGAGUAGGAUUCCCACAAUUUGUUGUACAUUUCCCAGAACUGUAGGCUCCCCGAUAAUCACAAUUUCUUUGGCAUCCAUCUUCAGGGGCAACCAGAGUCCAGUAUCUUCCAAUGUGAUGGCCAUUGACCCAUGCCUGGCCCUUUCCCAUGCUUCCCAAAUCAAGAGCAACUGGGUCAGCCCCAGCUGGUGCAUCAAAGUAUGUCUUGUACCAGGUAAAUGUUGAUGGAAUAUCAUCAAGUGUCAAAUCAGUCCAUUCUGCCCUUUCGUUAUUUCCUUCAGUGUAUAUUUUUAGGUACUCACCCUGAAGUCCCACCUGGUAGGUCCAUAAUAAGUUUGAGAGGUCUAUAUCCCCAUCCUUAAAUCCGGUAAGCUUACUUUGGCCUUUAAAACCUGCUCCAUCUCUUUCUAAGAAGGCACCAUAAUUCUGCAAACCCACUGUUUGAGACAACAACACUAAGUCAUUAUAUCCUUUCUGAAACUGAACUGGCUGCACCACCUUGACCCAAUGACCGAUCACACUGCCUAUAAGCUGGCCAUUAACAAAUACACGUAACACAUCACGCAUGCUAUCUAUUGUAACUGCAGGACUAACUUUGUUUUCCUCCCAAAAUGC
rnacentral:misc_RNA from 1 species